rnacentral:pre_miRNA from 1 species
GUGGUCUCAGGAGUUCCUUGCAAGCACUUCACAUAGAACUUUAAGUUACUCUCAUGCAACAUCGUGAGUUUGAGAAGCUACUGUGAAGUGUUUGGGGGAACUCUUGAUGUCAA